rnacentral:rRNA from 1 species
AUACGUAGGUGGCGAGCGUUGUCCGGAAUGAUUGGGCGUAAAGGGCGCGUAGGCGGCUUUGCAAGUCAGUAGUGGAAGUCCAUUUUUCAAGGAUGGAAGUGCUACAGAAACUGCAGAGCUUGAGUGCAGGAGAGGUUAUCGGAAUUCCCGGUGUAGCGGUGAAAUGCGUAGAGAUCGGGAGGAACACCAGUGGCGAAGGCGGGUAACUGGACUGCAACUGACGCUGAGGCGCGAAAGUGUGGGGAGCAAACAGGAUUAGAUACCCUGGUAGUCCACACUGUAAACGAUGAAUGCUAGGUGUAGGAGGUAUCGACCCCUUCUGUGCCGCAGUAAACACAGUAAGCAUUCCGCCUGGGGAGUACGGUCGCAAGAUUAAAACUCAAAUGAAUUGGCGGGG